rnacentral:misc_RNA from 1 species
UCUCCGUAGGUGAACCUGCGGAAGGAUCAUUAUUGUAUAACCGAGGUGCGAGGGCUGUCGCUGACCCGAAAGGUCGUGCACGCCCGAGUGCCCUCACACACAUCCAUCUCACCCCUGUGUGCACCACCGCGUGGGUCCCCCUUUGGCUUGUUCGGAGGGGGGCUUACGUUUUCACACAAACUUUGUAUGCAGUGUAGAAUGUAUUUUUUGUUUUUGCGAUCACGCAAUCAAUACAACUUUCAACAACGGAUCUCUUGGCUCUC